GCGAGAUGAAACCCCCGGUGUUGCUCUCUCUUCAGAAUUCAAUCAACUUCCUGUAGAUGAACUUUCCAGCAAAAGCUGUUCCUACCCAGUUUGCAAGGCCCAGUCAGCUUGUACUCUCAGAGGGCCAGCACUCCACUCUGAUGGAAAUCUGCCUGUGAUGCCAGCCUGGGGAGUGCCCUUCACACGUGAUCUCAUCUAAGCCUGGCUUGACAGUAAGAAGAGGAGGAAGAGGAGGAAGCUUAGGAAUCCUCUCUGAAGGGGACAUGGUUCUUGGAGGCCUGAUUUGUAUUGGGGAGAAUCCUGAAACCAAUCACUGAGGGAGCACUACCCUUUAUGAUGGGGAUGGAAAAGCCACAGCAACCCUAUGGCCUCUAGUUUUGGAGAGGGACUCAGCUAAAGACCAAAGGAAGCACCAGAAAGAAGAACUGAAGAGUUUAAUUUGGUUAAACAUAAAUAAAAAUAAAAACAUCUCUAGAAUAUAGAAACUAUCUCUAGAAGUCCGGGUGUUGUGGCUCACACCUGUAAUCCCAGCAUUUUGGGAGGCUAAGGCAGGUGGAUGACCUGAGCUCAGGAAUUUGAGACCAGCCUGGGCAAUAUGGCAAAACUUCGUCUCUGCCAAAAAUACAAAAAAUUAGCCGGGUGUGGUGGUAUGCACCUGUUGUCACAGCUACUCGAGAGGCUGAAGUGGGAGAACUGCUUGAGCCUGGGAGGCAGAGGUUGUAGUGAGCCAAGAUUGCACCACUGCACUCCAACCUGGGUGAAAAAAAUAAAAGAAAAACUAUCUCUAGGGGUGGAGCUCUGGGGAAUGUUUUCUCUGUUCAAAUGUUCUACCAAGCAGAUGUAUUACAGUGGAUGUGAUUGCCUUUAAUUUGCUUGAUUUGCUGGACAUCGUUCAAAGGUCAUCCCCAGGUAUCAGUGGAUGGAUAGGAAGGAGAGUGUGUGCACUGAGGGUGUGGCUGUGGGCCCUGCAGGGGAGGCACCACAGGGAGGGGCUGGCACUCCUAUGGGCUCAGACGCUCAGGUGAGUUGCCCAUUACAUAAGGUGCAUUGCUAGGGCAUUAGCUCAGCCAGGAAGGAACCACUCUGGACUUGUG
rnacentral:lncRNA from 1 species